GAACCUUACCUGGUCUUGACAUCCCGGAGACCCUUAGGAAACGUAGGGGUGCUCCAUCUGGAAGAAUCUGGAGACAGGUGCUGCAUGGCUGUCGUCAGCUCGUGUCGUGAGAUGUUGGGUUAAGUCCCGCAACGAGCGCAACCCUUGCCUUAGUUGCCAGCAGUUCGGCUGGGCACUCUAAAGGGACUGCCGGUGUUAAACCGGAGGAAGGUGGGGAUGACGUCAAGUCCUCAUGGCCUUUAUGACCAGGGCUACACACGUACUACAAUGGCCGAUACAAAGGGCAGCGACACUGCGAGGUGAAGCCAAUCCCGUAAAAUCGGUCUCAGUCCGGAUUGGAGUCUGCAACUCGACUCCAUGAAGUUGGAAUCGCUAGUAAUCGUGGAUCAGCAUGCCACGGUGAAUACGUUCCCGGGCCUU
rnacentral:rRNA from 1 species